UACGGAGGGUGCAAGCGUUGUCCGGAUUUAUUGGGUUUAAAGGGUGCGUAGGCGGCUACUUAAGUCAGCGGUGAAAUUCUACAGCUUAACUGUUAGAACUGCCAUUGAUACUGGUUGGCUUGAGUACAGAUGAGGUAGGCGGAAUUGACAGUGUAGCGGUGAAAUGCUUAGAUAUUGUCAAGAACACCUAUGGCGAAGGCAGCUUGCUAAACUGUAACUGACGCUGAGGCACGAAAGCGUGGGGAGCAAACAGG
rnacentral:rRNA from 1 species